CGGCCACAUCACUUUGAAACACCUGUCCAUGUACGCUCACCGAAGUUAAGCAACCUUGAACCUAGUCAGUACUUAGAUGGGUGACCGCUUGGGAAGACCAG